rnacentral:rRNA from 1 species
UGUCUUUUGAGUACCUUCGUUUCCUCGGCGGGUCCGCCCGCCGGUUGGACAACACUUAAACCCUUUGUAGUUGCAAUCAGCGUCUGAAUAAACUUAAUAGUUACAACUUUCAACAACGGAUCUCUUGGUUCUGGCAUCGAUGAAGAACGCAGCGAAAUGCGAUAAGUAGUGUGAAUUGCAGAAUUCAGUGAAUCAUCGAAUCUUUGAACGCACAUUGCGCCCCUUGGUAUUCCAUGGGGCAUGCCUGUUCGAGCGUCAUUUGUACCUUCAAGCCUUGCUUGGUGUUGGGUGUUUGUCUCGCCUCUGCGCGCAGACUCGCCUCAAAACAAUUGGCAGCCGGCGUAUUGAUUUCGGAGCGCAGUACAUCUCGCGCUUUGCACUCAUAACGACGACGUCCAAAAAGUACAUUUUUACACUCUUGACCUCGGAUCAGGUAGGGAUACCCGCUGAACUUAAGCAUAUCAAUAA